GUUCUCACUCUGGCUGCACAUGUACUAAAAUUGGAAUGAUACAGAGAAGAUUAGUAUGGCCUCUGCCUAAGGAUGACACACACAUUCGUGGAUGGUGUCCAAUCCAG